GACGAACGCUGGCGGCGUGCCUAAUACAUGCAAGUAGAACGCUGAAGGAGGAGCUUGCUUCUCCGGAUGAGUUGCGAACGGGUGAGUAACGCGUAGGUAACCUGCCUGGUAGCGGGGGAUAACUAUUGGAAACGAUAGCUAAUACCGCAUAAGAGUAGAUGUUGCAUGACAUUUGCUUAAAAGGUGCAAUUGCAUCACUACCAGAUGGACCUGCGUUGUAUUAGCUAGUUGGUGGGGUAACGGCUUACCAAGGCGACGAUACAUAGCCGACCUGAGAGGGGGAGCGGCCACACUGGGACUGAGACACGGCCCAGACUCCUACGGGAGGCAGCAGUAGGGAAGCUUCGGCGAUGGACGGAAGUCUGACCGAGCAACGCCGCGUGAGUGAAGAAGGGUUUCGGAUCGGAAAGCUCUGUUGUAAGAGAAGAACGAGGGUGAGAGUGGAAAGUUCACACUGUGACGGUAUCUGACCAGAAAGGGACGGCUAACUACGUG
rnacentral:rRNA from 1 species